AGGACUCCAAUGAGGGCGUGAUAAUACCAAGUUAUAUGACUCUUAAGGGUUACAGCUGCAAAUUUAGCGAAGCAAAAAUAGCUUGAAAGGUUAGCAUGCUGGAAUGCUAAUAUUUUUUCCUAACCGUUAUUUUUCACCAAUGACAAUCAGCCAAUUAUAAUGCUUUUAAAAUAGGCAGCUGUGUGGGCUGCUUUGAGGUCCUUCUACCCCCAUUGGGGUCCUUCAGGCAUUAGAGGGGCUGUCACGCCAAAUGUCUUCCGGGUGGAAGGUUUUUGUAGGGGGAAAGAAAUUUGGCGUGACAGCACCUAUCAAAUACACAGUUAUAAAAACACAGUUGUUCUACUAACUGUACUGUGCUUGCUGGGUACUAAAAAACAACAACACUUACCUUUCACUAUUUGAGUAACCUUUGUUCUGCCAUUUAUUUCUUCAUUUUGCUUGUCGACGGUGUAAUAUAUUGGGUUGGAGUCAAUAACCAGGUGAGGUGAUGGAGUUACGUCUCUUUACUGUGGGCUUCAGUCAGAACAGACUCCCUCACUUGCCGUCAGGUGCCCAACACCAUGUAAAUCGUUGGACAAUCAAAAAGCAACCCCAUAACGCUAUAGCCAACAUUCACCAGGAGAUGGCAAGAGACAACAUAGAAUCACUCUAUUACAGACGGCGUCGCCAUGGCUGUAACUUCCUCGUUCUCCUGCUUCGCGUCCUUGUGUGUGCAGUUUUUUAUUCAAAUCCGUAGAUGUUGUAACGUGAUUGGGCGUGGCCUCCAGCUCCAGCUAAAUUUCGGGAGAUUUUCGGGAGGAAAUUUCUUCCGGGAGGUUUUCGGGAAAGGCGCUGAAUUUCGGGAGUCUCCCGGAAUAUCCGGUAGGGUUGGCCAGUAUGUCUAUCGAGUAGCUGGUCUAAGAAGUAUUAGGAGCAAUGUUCAUAUGUUGUUAAUAUUCAGUUUUUUAUUGUUCAUAGUUAAUAUUGUAAAUCCCACUUUCUUUAUUUUCAUGUAUAUUUUGGGUGUCCCAUUUAGUAAAAAACUGUAAAAUUCUAUUCCGUUUUUUUGAAGUGGUCUAUCAUUACAUUUUUAGAAUUGUAUCGGACAUUGUGACUUUUGGUAUUAGUGUUCCUAAAAAAAAGGCACCCAAACACUCAUACUGUACAACACAUUUUUACAGCUAAAUGUUUAUAUAUCAUUCAUACACACAUACGCAUUGGUCCCCCAGACACAUUUUUUCUCUCAAUGUGGCCCCCAGGUCAAAAUAUUGGCCCAACUCUGUUCUAGAGGGAGAACAACAAUACACCACUUUUAGGAUUUACUAGACAAUGCUAAAAUUAUGUGUGCACUCUCAUGUUUGCUAAUGGCAAAACCUUAAACCUGCACAAAGGACUACACUUUAAGAGCAUGAAUAAGAACACAUACUUAGGUAACUUUAUCUUAAUUCAAUUGAAGUUCUCUAAAUGAGAACACAGAGUAACUCCUGAUGACACAUAAGAACACACAGGAGGGGAAAACCUGUCCAAUGUGUUACAGGCAGCAUUUAAAAUUGGCACUGCACAUAUUGGAGAAACACACGUGAAUUGAAAACAACAGAGCUUUUCAUUGUUCUUGUUUAUUUAACUGAAUAAAAUGCACGUUGUAACACAUCUCAACCAUGUGUACCCAUCUCUUAAUGAAUGAACCCUUGUUAAAUUGUAAAUUGGAUCUGAAAUAAAUUAAUACAUUAUUUUGUAAUCAAGAAUAGAGUAAAAAGAAGGCAUACAGAAGAACUGCUACUCCCCCUAGUGUUUGUGACAUGUUUCUGCAGGAACAUGAAGAAACAUGUAACCACACAUUGGCCAAUAGAUGGCAGUGUCCAGCUAAACAUUCACCUAGUGACCGUCUCGAUAUCCAGAUAUACGCACCAUGGUGAUAAUACACUCCUUUUAGUGUUUAAAAAGAAAAAUAUUUUUUCUGAAAUAAGUUGUAUACCAAUUAGCAUUUAUUUCCUUGCUUCUUUAACAGUUGAAAUGUCAUUUGCUUCACACCCACGGCAAUCCACAGUCAUUUGAUUGUUGUUACCAAUGAUAAUACAGCUGCUAUGGUCAAUAUGAGUAUUUGGAUACACACUGGGAAAGCCCACUGAGUUGUCGUGGAUGUUGAGUUUUCCAAACUUAUAUGCUGCUUCCUGCCUCUGUGUUCUCUGCUCUCCUGACCAAAUUUUUUUCUGUCUAUUGAUUUUUGGUAAUGAAAAAAACUUUUUAAUUUUUUUCUCAGUCCAUUUGCUCUCCUCGAGGGGAACCAAAUUCUGUAGCACCGCAGACCAUCUAUGUCUGGGCAUUUGGUUUUCCUUUGGAACCAAAGGUAUGACUGUAUUGUACUUGUGUACAUUGUUAAUGGAGUGUGUCAGGGCUGUGUAGGUCUUCACCUCCAACAUGCGUGUGUUGAAGUUUUGAGUGAGCAGCAGCAGAGUGAAUGCUGAGUUGUUGAUCGCGUCCUCUACACACUUUAGGGUGCUCUUUCCAGGUAUGGCAAAGUCCUCAGAGAAAGUUGCACCGUUAUGACCGAUCAUAGUUUCUAAGUUCAACUUCAUGAGCUCUGCUACUUCAGCAUCUUCUGGAGCAUGUAAGAUGACAAAUGAGUAAAAUAUGGCCUCCUCCUCCUCUUGUGCACUCUUUGGUUGAAUGUUGCUUGUUGCAGAAGUGGUCGGUGGGGUUCUUUGGUUCGGAGGUUCUUCCUUAUUGAAAUCCUCAUCCUUUCUGUGAUCCCUUUCAGAUGCCACAUCCAUCUUUGAGUCUUCAUGGACAGGUGGGCCACUGCUCCUUGGUUGUGACCACACAGAUGAGAGAUCAGCCACAUGCUUGGCGAGGUUGUGGUCCUCCAGCAAGCAGAGUUUGUCCAGAGCUUCUUUUUUACGAAGAACAAUCAAACAUAAGGCAUGUACGAUAUUCUCUUCUGGAGAAUCCCCAAGCUGAAAUGUCAGGCUCAACACUUGCUCCGGUGAGACGCUGACCAGUACGUCAUAGACAUCCCUUAGGCCUGUGCCGUCAGAUACCUCCUCUUGAUUCAUUUUUUCUUUCCUUCGCAAUUGUGCAGAAAAUCACGCUUUCUUGUUUGUUGUCAAAUGUGGUGCACCAUUUCCAAAUCAGGCUGGUUUCUAAGAAAGAAUUGAUAACAUUCGAGACAAACAUUCAAAUGAAAUGUGAAGACGCAGCUUGAAUGCAACUUUGAAUUAUUUGUACAUGUUGACCUUUGAGCAAGUUCCCUACUGAAAAAUUAAACACAUGUUGGUAGUUA